rnacentral:rRNA from 1 species
GAUGAACGCUGGCGGCGUGCCUAAUACAUGCAAGUCGAGCGAACAGACGAGGAGCUUGCUCCUCUGACGUUAGCGGCGGACGGGUGAGUAACACGUGGAUAACCUACCUAUAAGACUGGGAUAACUUCGGGAAACCGGAGCUAAUACCGGAUAAUAUAUUGAACCGCAUGGUUCAAUAGUGAAAGACGGUUUUGCUGUCACUUAUAGAUGGAUCCGCGCCGCAUUAGCUAGUUGGUAAGGUAACGGCUUACCAAGGCAACGAUGCGUAGCCGACCUGAGAGGGUGAUCCGCCACACUGGGACUGAGACACGGUUCAGGCCCCUAAGGGAGGCAGCAGUAGGGAAUCUUCCGCAAUGGGCGAAAGCCUGACGGAGCAACGCCGCGUGAGUGAUGAAGGUCUUCGGAUCGUAAAACUCUGUUAUUAGGGAAGAACAAAUGUGUAAGUAACUAUGCACGUCUUGACGGUACCUAAUCAGAAAGCCACGGCUAACUACGUG